GACCGCAUAGCUCAGUUGGCAGAGCAUUGGGCUAGUACUCCAAAGGUCGUAGGUUCGAAUCCCACUGUGGCCA
rnacentral:tRNA from 1 species